rnacentral:lncRNA from 1 species
UGCAGUUUUAAACUAUGUAUUUAUCUUUUCAGAAUUGAUAUUGGAUCAAAUUAAAGAUGGUGAAAUCAAUGAUGACAUCAUGAUUUUGGUGCUGAACAUUAAAAUUGGAUGGUGGUAAGUUUGACGGUGAUAUUGAAUGUAAAUAUGGUGCGCAAAAACUUUGAAGGUGAAUAUUAAUCAUCGAAUUUUGUUGAAUGUUGGAAAAUAGAGGUGUUGAAGCUUUUGAGGUUGGUUUAAAGGUGAUGAGACAGAGGAGAGGAGGACGAAGAAAAAUGUAAUCGCUAACAUGUGUUUUGAUAGUAGAAUAUGCGGCGAGGUUCGCCGGCCAAAUUCAUUGAUUGCUAAUGGAAGGACGUUAAGAGUGUUAAUUUGUGUUUUUUGAAGGUUCAAAAAUAGUGAUAAAAAAUGAAGGGAGAAGACUUGCGGUGGUGUUCUUUUAAUGAUGUGAAUAGGGGUUUAUUGGUGAAAAUGAAAAUUGUUUAGUGAGUAAUAUUAAUGAAGAAAAAUAUAAUAAAGAAAAAAUAGCGUGUUAAUGGUGGUGGAGGAGCAUUAAGUGAAAAGAUGAAAGAUGGAGUGGGUGGACAAAGAAAAAGGGAAGGAGGAAAAAUAAAAAAAUUUAAAAAGAAUUUUUACGCGCCUAAAAUAAGUGUAGCACACGCAAGACGCUAUGUCAACAAAAGGUAUAAAAUGAGACCUUACAACACUAGUUUGGGUAAUAAAAGUUUGUGUCAAAUUUUGAAGUCUGGUGAUGUGUUACGGGUGAAUCUCAAAAAUAGACUCAAAUUGGGGUGACUUUCAAAUUUUAGCCUCAAAUAAAAAAGCUUCUCUAAAAUAAUUUUUACCUAUUAACUAAUAUUUUUUGCGACAAAAUU